AGGGGCAUGGAGAAAGCAGCAUUCCUCCACAACCUUCCGCCAAUCUCCCUCAUACCUGUGGUCUCUUCUCAGAGUUUGCCUCUCCAACUACAACACAAGCUCCUUGAGAACAGGGGCCUCGCUGCUCCGUCUGCUGGUCCUUCCCGACCUUGUACCGAGCCUCUGACCUGCAAACAUCUGCUAAAGUAAUGAUGGAGUUGAGGAUGUCAUCGUUCUAUCGCCACCUAGUGGACUCUUUUCCAAACUGCGGGGUUGGGGAGGAAGAUGCCCUUGAUUGACCAGGCUGGAGGUGGUUGCUAUGAGCCUUUCAUAUCUGUACUCUGCUUUCCCUUGGAGCAGAGACUUCCUGGAAGAGCAGGGGCAGGGCCAGGGCCCAAGAAGAGACAGGAUCGGGGACAGCUGAGGUGAUCUGGAAGAUGAGAUAGAAAAUGACAAACAGGAGGAGGAGAGGGAAUUUCCAGGGCUGUCACUUCGAAUGCAUGAUGAGGUCAUUUAAGCCCACAAAGACCAGUGAAGCACAUGGUGGGACUCCUGUUUUACACACAUGGAAACCAAGGCACGGACAAAUGAAGUGGCCUGUUCUGGACCUCAGACCCUCUUGGAAGUGGAUCUGAAUGAAGGCCAUCUUUGCAGAUG
ensembl:antisense Gm12679 predicted gene 12679